rnacentral:rRNA from 1 species
GUCCUUUUGAAUUUAAUUUAAGGUCUGACCUGCCCAGUGAUAAAUUUAACGGCCGCGGUAUAUUGACCGUGCAAAGGUAGCAUAAUCAUUAGUCUUUUAAUAGAGGGCUGGAAUGAAUGGUUUAACGAGGAACUAACUGUCUCAUUUUAUUUGUUUUAAAAUUUAAUCUUUUAGUCAAAAGGCUAAAAUUUUAUUGGAAGACGAGAAGACCCUAUAGAUCUUUAUAUAAUUUUAUUUAAUUAUUUUUAUAUUAAUAUAAUUAUCUAAAAUUUUAUUUUGUUGGGGUGACAAAAAUAUAUAAUUAACUUUUUUAUUUAUUUACCAUAGAUAUAUGAAUAUAAGAUCCAUUAUUAUUGAUUAUUAGACUAAGUUACCUUAGGGAUAACAGCGUAAUCCUCCUCCAGAGUUCAUAUUUACAGGAGGGCUUGCGACCUCGAUGUUGGAUUAAGAUAAUAAUUAGGUGUAGCCGCUUAAUUUAUAGGUCUGUUCGACCUUUAAACUCUU